AGAAAUGAUAUGGACAGGAGAGGAGGAUAGCAAACCUUCGCCGACCAUUAUCAAAAGAUUCCUUACAACACUUUAACCAAACAGUACCCUCCCCUCGCUUUGCACCAUUGCAAUUUGCUUCCUCAUCUAUAAAUGCAUGCUCGUGCUGCAAAGUAUAGCAAUCCCAAUAUUGCAAGCUAGCUAUCAACUUUAAGACGCUCAAAUUCACCAUGUCUAACACUUGCGGCAACUGCGACUGUUCUGAUAAGAGCCAGUGCGUGAAGAAGGGAAGCAGUAACACCAUGGUCAUUGAGACUGAGAAGAGGGCUGAGGAAGGUCAACCGUGCCCGUUUUGGUGCUAAGGGCAGACAUAGCCGAACCUCGGGCUUGGGAAGUGCCGACGAGGCACGUGGGCGCGCGGCGCUAGGCAUGGCUUAGGGUUUCUGCCUCUGCCUAAGCCAUUUAGGUCUUGGGCCUAAAAUUUGGGCUAGGUUUUUUAGUUGGGCUCCUGGUUUGGGUCAAAUUGGGAUUAGGUUUGGGUUAAAAUCGAAUUAAGGGAUUUGGGUUUCAAUUGGGUUAAGGGUUGCGGGGUCUUUUGUAAAUGCGUUAACUUUAAUGGGUUUGAAUCUGGUAAUGGGUUUAACAUUGUAAAGGGGUUUGAAAUUGGGCUCCGUGUUUAAUGUGAAUGGUCUGUUUUGGUAUUUACUUGUAAUUUGGACUUUGGACAUUUGGAUGUUAUUAAUUUCUUCUGGUUUUAUAUUUGGUUUAAAA